CUACGGAGGCAGCAGUGGGGAAUAUUGGACAAUGGGCGAAAGCCUGAUCCAGCCAUGCCGCGUGAGUGACGAAGGCCUUAGGGUUGUAAAGCUCUUUUGGCGGGGAAGAUAAUGACGGUACCCGCAGAAUAAGCUCCGGCUAACUUCGUGCCAGCAGCCGCGGUAAUACGAAGGGAGCUAGCGUUGUUCGGAAUCACUGGGCGUAAAGCGCACGUAGGCGGACUUUCAAGUCAGGGGUGAAAUCCCGGGGCUCAACCUCGGAACUGCCUUUGAUACUGUUGGUCUCGAGUCCGGAAGAGGUGAGUGGAAUUCCUAGUGUAGAGGUGAAAUUCGUAGAUAUUAGGAAGAACACCGGUGGCGAAGGCGGCUCACUGGUCCGGUACUGACGCUGAGGUGCGAAAGCGUGGGGAGCAAACAGGAUUAGAAACCCCUGUAGUCC
rnacentral:rRNA from 1 species